CCUACGGGGGGCAGCAGUGGGGAAUAUUGGACAAUGGGGGGAACUCUGAUCCAGCGACGCCGCGUGAGUGAAGAAGUAUUUCGGUAUGUAAAGCUCUAUCAGCAGAGAAGACAGACAUGACGGUACCUGACUAAGAAGCCCCGGCUAACUACGUGCCAGCAGCCGCGGUAAUACGGAGGGGGCAAGCGUUAUCCGGAUUUACUGGGUGUAAAGGGAGCGUAGACGGUUACGCAAGUCUGGAGUGAAAGGCGGGGGCCCAACCCCCGGACUGCUUUGGAAACUGUAUAACUGGAGUGCAGGGGAGGUAAGUGGAAUUCCUAGUGUAGCGGUGAAAUGCGUAGAGAUUAGGAGGAACACCAGUGGCGAAGGCGGCUUACUGGACUGUAACUGACGUUGAGGCUCGAAAGCGUGGGGAGCAAACAGGAUUAGAUACCCGGGUAGUC
rnacentral:rRNA from 1 species